rfam:Fusarium poae strain 2516 chromosome FPOA_3 Chr3, whole genome shotgun sequence.
GGCUCAAUGGUCUAGCGGUAUGAUUCCUGCUUUGGGAUGACGUAAUUAUUCAUGCAGGAGGUCCCGGGUUCAAUCCCCGGUUGAGCCC